UUCAUAAUAACUUAACGAAUCGCAUGGCCUUGCGCCGGCGAUGGUUCAUUCAAAUUUCUGCCCUAUCAACUUUCGAUGGUAGGAUAGUGGCCUACCAUGGUCUCAACGGGUAACGGGGAAUUAGGGUUCUAUUCCGGAGAGGGAGCCUGAGAAACGGCUACCACAUCCAAGGAAGGCAGCAGGCGCGCAAAUUACCCAAUCCCAAUUCGGGGAGGUAGUGACAAUAAAUACUGAUACAGGGCUCUUUUGGGUCUUGUAAUUGGAAUGAGUACAAUCUAAAUCCCUUAACGAGGAACAAUUGGAGGGCAAGUCUGGUGCCAGCAGCCGCGGUAAUUCCAGCUCCAAUAGCGUAUAUUAAAGUUGUUGCCGUUAAAAAGCUCGUAGUUGAACCUUGGGCCUGGCUGAUCUGUCCUCCUAAUCGAGCGCACGGAUUCGGUCGGGCCUUUCCUUCUGGGGAGCCCGAUGCCCUUCACUGGGUGUCGCGGGGAACCAGGACUUUUACCUUGAAAAAAUUAGAGUGUUCAAAGCAGGCCUUUGCUCGAAUACAUUAGCAUGGAAUAAUAGAAUAGGACAGAGGUUCUAUUUUGUUGGUUUCUAGGACCGCUGUAAUGAUUAAUAGGGAUAGUCGGGGGCGUCCGUAUUCAAUUGUCAGAGGUGAAAUUCUUGGAUUUAUUGAAGACGAACUACUGCGAAAGCAUUCGCCAAGGAUGUUUUCAUUAAUCAGUGAACGAAAGUUAGGGGAUCGAAGACGAUCAGAUACCGUCGUAGUCUUAACCAUAAACUAUGCCGACUAGGGAUCGGACGGUGGUUUUUUUAUGCCCCGUUCGGCACCUUACGA
rnacentral:rRNA from 1 species